ACAAUAAACUCUUAUGGAAGGUGAGAAAGCAUUCCUAGCUGGAGGAAAAAAAAAAAAAAGAGAGAGAAGGAAAAGAAAAAACGAAGGGACCCAUAACGAAGAGCUGGCCAGUAAUUUAACUCAAGAUUCCAGAUCGCCUCCUUGCUCUGUGAAAUAUUUGCUAACACAGGGUGCUGCGUCUUCUUAGGUGGCAUGCAUGCAAAUCUCCACUUUGCUGCUGUUUCUCCUCCCUGGAAAGCAUCCCAAAUGACUGAGGCAGAAACAGCUCCUCCAAACACGCCAAGCCACGACUAGAACACUUGUUUCAAGCGCCAGAUUCCCAAGCAGAGUCCCUCGACCCAAAAAGACAGCAGCUCGAUAGGAUUCACGGGCCUGUAAGUCUUUUGCUGUUUCCACUGCAUCUAGACCCGGGCUUCUCGCUGUGGGUAUUUGGGGCCAGGUCACUCUUUGCUGUAUGGGGCCAUCCUGUGCCUUCAGCAGCGUCCCUGGUCCCUACCCACCAGAUGCCAGGGUGGCCCCCUUCCCCUCCCAGUGGGGACGAUCAAAAAAUUCUCCAAAUAAUGCCAAAUUGCCCCUGGCAAGUGAAAACCACUGAGAAUGACUGUUCCAGAUCUUGA
rnacentral:lncRNA from 1 species